rnacentral:lncRNA from 1 species
AAGUUUCUGUAUUGGUGAACAGUGUGAUAUUCUUACUGCACUAGUGUAGUUCACCAUUUAAUUAACUAUUUCAAAUCAAGAGAACUAAGACCCAGAUCCCCAUCAACAAGAGCGUUGUGAAUAGUUUACCACUUGGACUCCAUUCUAAAGUUAGCGAAGGUCGUCCUAGAAUGCUCAGUUAUUAACUUUUUGUUUAUUUCCUUAAUUUUUGUAAUUCCUUUUAGAAUGGACAUUCUAGUAGCCCUAUUGGGUAUUCUAAACUAUUAUGUAAUGAAUGUAAACCCUAACUCUCUUAUUCCGCUUUCGCAUUCAAUUCAUGUCU